AUUGAACGCUGGCGGCAGGCCUAACACAUGCAAGUCGAACGAGUGGCGGACGGGUGAGUAAUGUCUGGGAAACUGCCCGAUGGAGGGAGAUAACUACUGGAAACGGUAGCUAAUACCGCAUACCCUCGGAUGUGCCCAGAUGGGAUUAGCGAGUAGGUGGGGGAACGGCUCACAUAGGCUACGAUCCCUAGCUGUUCUGAGAGGAUGACCAGCCCCACUGGAACUGUGACACGGUCCAGACUCUUACGGGAGUCAGCAGUGGGGAAUAUUGAACAAUGGGCGCAAGCCAGAUGCAGCCAUGCCGCGUGUAUGAAGAAGGCCUUCGGGUUGUAAAGUACUUUCAGCGAGGAGGCGUUACUCGCAGGAGAAGCAACGGCUAACUCCGUGCCAGCAGCCGCGGUAAUAC
rnacentral:rRNA from 1 species